AAAGAUCGCAGCCUUCGGCAGCUCCUACAGGAAAUACGUAUUCCAAUGUAGGAGCUGCCGAAGGCUGCGAUCUUU
rnacentral:antisense_RNA from 1 species